rnacentral:rRNA from 1 species
AUUGAACGCUGGCGGCAUGCUUUACACAUGCAAGUCGAACGGUAACAGGCCUUCGGGUGCUGACGAGUGGCGAACGGGUGAGUAAUGCAUCGGAACGUACCCAGAGGUGGGGGAUAACGCAGCGAAAGCUGUGCUAAUACCUCAUGUGAUCUGAGGAUGAAAGCGGGGUACCGAGCAGCAAUGUUUGGCCUUGCGCCUUUGGAGCGGCCGAUGUCGGAUUAGCUAGUUGGUGGGGUAAAGGCCUACCAAGGCGACGAUCCGUAGCUGGUCUGAGAGGACGACCAGCCACACUGGAACUGAGACACGGCCCAGACUCCUACGGGAGGCAGCAGUGGGGAAUUUUGGACAAUGGGCGCAAGCCUGAUCCAGCAAUGCCGCGUGCGGGAAGAAGGCCUUCGGGUUGUAAACCGCUUUUGGCAGGAACGAAACGGUGUCCGCUAAUACCGGGCGCUAAUGACGGUACCUGCAGAAUAAGCACCGGCUAACUACGUG